GAUGAAGAACGUAGCGAAAUGCGAUAAGUAAUGUGAAUUGCAGAAUUCAGUGAAUCAUCGAAUCUUUGAACGCACAUUGCGCCCGCCAGUAUUCUGGCGGGCAUGCCUGUCCGAGCGUCAUUUCAACCCUCGAACCCCUCCGGGGGGUCGGCGUUGGGGAUCGGCCCUUUCACCGGGUGCCGUCCCCCAAAUACAGUGGCGGUCUCGCCGCAGCCUCUCAUGCGCAGUAGUUUGCACACUCGCACCGGGAGCGCGGCGCGUCCACGUCCGUAAAACACCCCAAUCUUCUGAAAUGUUGACCUCGGAUCAGGUAGGAAUACCCGCUGAACUUAAGCAUAUCAAUAAGCGGAGGA
rnacentral:misc_RNA from 1 species